AAAAGAACACAUGUGGGACGAGUAGACUGGCAAGGAGGAAAAAUCGUACCUUCUUAAAAGAGAAAGGAGACCCUGGGAAGUAUCUAAAACUGGGGAGUGACACGAAGUGCACGGCAGUAGAGAAUCAAGGUGGGUGAGGAAUUCUUUUUUGCUAGUCUGCAAACCUGAGGACAGUCUUCAUUCACAUGAUGAAUUAUUCCUUAUGUUGGAAGGUGUUUAAUAGAGAUUCUUAACAGAAAAAGAAUAAUAAGUGAAAUAGUUAAAUGGUACCAUAGAAACCAGGUUUGUGGAACCAGAAUAGGGAUGAUGAACUGGAAAUUGAGAGUUCACGCCCCAAGAAAGGAUAAGAGUCACAUUGAGACAAAGCUUUAAAUAAAUGCGAGAAGAAGUAUAGAUGACUGGCCACAGACUCCAUGGACAGAAAGUUCUGCACUGUUUCUAGGAUAAUGUUUACUUGGAGAACUAGGAAUAAUAUUGCAUACUUGACUUUGUCUGGCUUUGUGUAUGGUGAACAGAAAUAUCAAUAAUACUACCAUUGAGUUUUAGAAUUGAAAAAUCAAGGUAUUUACCAGUACUUUUUUUUUUCUAAAUGAUUGCAUCCUACCACAGGAAAGUCUUAUGAUAAAAUAAACAAUUUAAAAUAAUCCUCUGGCUCAUUAUGAAUGUAAUUUGAAUGGACUGUAGAGAUGGAAAACAAUAAUUUUAUUUAAUACUAAUUUAAAUUGAAUGAAUACAGUACAUUAUAUGCAAGUUAUAUUUUUACUUAAGAGGAACUGCCAUUUUCAAGGAACACCAAAGUACAUUUGUUUUAUUGUUACAGAAUCCUCAUGCUAAAUUUUUAAGGGACUUUUCCAAAAAAACUUAACCAAAUUGCAAACCCGGAAUUGCAACAUACAGGACAAUAAGACCAAUAAGGCCAUGGAUAAGAACCAAAUCUAAACAGGCAGUAUGGUUUUAAUACCUUACAGAGAAAAGUAGAAGUCACAAUAAACCUGUUCAAUAAAAUGAGUAAAGAACUUUUAGUCACUUGGAUGUUAUGCCUUGUUACAAUUUCACACCCCAUAUUAAGUAAUAAAUGAAUUUACUGUUUCACAGCUAUUUUUGCAAAGUGGCUGUAAGAUCAUAAAUAAAUUUUAAUCUGAAUUUCCAUUCUUUGGUGGUACUUUAUAAUUGUUCUUAUAUUGUUUCACAUAUCCAUAUUUCCUCACCCUUACUACUACCCUAUGUUUUAUUUUCUUUUUUCUUCAGUUCAUUCUGACACUACUAAUAAACUUUUUUCAAUCUCUGGGUUCCUUCUGUAAAACAAACAAAUGCAACUUUGACUAACCACUCUUAAAAACAUAAUAAAUCAUUUUCUCUUCAUGAACUAUUGGUCUGUAAAUGUUUUCAGUAAUACACCUUCGGGGAGGAGGUUAUUACCUUAUGAUACUUUACUGCUUUAUAGUAAUAGAGCACUGGUACUCCAAAACACAAAUGGGAUAACUUGCUUUGCCUACCAGGGGUAGAAAGACUUUUUUCUUUUUCUUCAAAUACUGGGGUAGGGGUGGGUGUAUCUAUGUUAACUGAAGUAGUAAGAAUCUUUUUUGUGAGCUUCUUGUGUUCUGAAGUGUGUCUUGGAAAAUUUAUGAAUAAUAAAUUUAACGUUUUCAGGUGUUGUUAUAAAAUUACAUGUUCUUUACCAAGAGAAUCUUGCAGUGGUAUAUAUGGAGAGGCACAUUUUCCAUGUUUACAAGUCAUCUGAGCAGAAACAUUUCUUGGUUCUCUGAGAUGACCUGCACAUAAAGGUAUCUAGUAGGCACUAACCAGAUAGAAGUGGUUUUCUUCCUCUGUUCUGGUCUGUUGAAGAGAGGUAAUAUCUAAUUGUCAAUGAGGUAUGCUAACAUUACUAACUAUUUUUCUUUUUAGAGGAUUCAGACACACAAACAUGUUUUCUAUUUUUGAGUGUAUAAUUCCAGCACUUUAGAUUUGAUACAGAUCCCAGGAAUGUGGUAUUAAUCGGGUGAUUUUCAAAAAACUGUUUAUUAUGGAAACUUCAAACAGACACAAAAAUAAAGAGUAUAAUGAAUCUUCAUGUACCCAUUUCCCAGUACCAACAAAACCUGGCUGGUAUUUUAACUAGAAUGUAUCAGACUAUUUUUUUAAACCAAAAAGAUGCUUCUACAUACUUACAGAAUAUUACAAAGUUUUCUGAAUGCCAAAAUUCUUGAAUCAUGUGCAAUGGACCUAUUAGGAUAACCAAUACACAUUAAAUGCAUGUGUAGCCACCUUCAUUGCAAUGUUAUAACUGUAAUGGUAAAAUUUUAAGCUUUCACCAUUACAGGUGUCAGACUGAAUUUAUUUGCCUUUUGUGGGGCUGAAAAUUAGUUCUCAAUAUCUAAUUUGUUGGUUUGCAAAUUUCUUUUCUCAGCUAGUAAAUAUCUAAGUGAAGCCUACAAUGUAAAAAUUAGUGUACUAGGGUCCAUUUAGAAUCAUAAUUAUUCCUUAUUUUACUAGACAAUUUCCUUCUUUUUGACUUCCUAUGAGUACUUUAGUUUUCAGUUACAGAAAAUGAAGUUUCAGCAAAAAAUCACAGUGUUAGAAAUAUUAAUGAGAAGAAAAGAGCGAAUGGGAGAGUAAAAUCAGCCUUAGUACAUCACCAAAUGUGAUGUCACCAAAAAAGAAGUACCAUAUAGGGUGUGUGUAAAUAAAUGUACAUAAACACAUAAAACUUAUAUCAAUAUAUUCUCUCCAAAACCAUUUUGUAGAAUAGUCAUGAAAGAAUGAAAACAAUAAGGACUAAUGAAGAAUGGCUUAAAGAAUUAAGAUUUGGGCCAUCAUGUUGGGUUACGUCUGUAAUCCCAGCACUUUGGGAGGCUGAGGCAGGUGGAUUGAUCGAGCCCAGGAGUUUGAGACCAGCCUGCUUACCUACCUACCUAUUUAUAGGCCAUUUUAUAUUUCCUUGCCUUUAUUCAGACAGCAAUCUGCCUUAAGACUCAAAGCAACAUGGUGAAACCCCAUCUCUCCAAAAAAAAAAAAAAAAAAA
rnacentral:lncRNA from 1 species